rnacentral:rRNA from 1 species
CCAAUAGCGUAUAUUAAAGUUGUUGCAGUUAAAAAGCUCGUAGUUGAAUUUCGGGAUUGACGUGACGGUCAUGCCUUAAGGGGUAUGAACUGUUACAGUUGAUUUCUCACCUUCUGGAGAAACUUGAUGUCCUUUAUUGGGUGUCUUGCGGAUCCAGGACCUUUACCUUGAAAAAAUUAGAGUGUUUAAAGCAGGCAUUUUUGCUCGAAUACCUUAGCAUGGAAUAAUAGAAUAGGAAGGCAUGGUUCUAUUUUGUUGGUUUCUAGGAUCACCGUAAUGAUUAAUAGGGAUAGUUUGGGGCAUUAGUAUUCAAUUGUCAGAGGUGAAAUUCUUGGAUUUAUUGAAGACUAACUACUGCGAAAGCAUUUGCCAAGGAUGUUUUCAUUAAUCAAGAACGAAAGUUAGGGGAUCGAAGACGAUCAGAUACCGUCGUAGUCUUAACCAUAAACUAUGCCGACUAGGAAUCAGACGAUGUUAAUUUUUUAAUGACUCGUUUGGCACCUUACG